GCCAUGUAUUGAAAGACAAAAACGUUGUUGUCUCCCUUCCCUGAAAUGGGAAAUCUUUUGGUUUAUUCUGGUUUACAGAUGAGCCUGGAGCAAACCUCCUGAUCAGAGGAGUCCCACGGAUCAGCCUGGGAAGUUGCAGCAGGGCAGAGAUCAAUCCACCUAGGGGGGCAGGUCUGCACUAGCCAAUGCUGUUUGCUUAAUUUAAUUAGACUUCUGGCUAAGUGAAAGUGAAUUUCAGCCCCGGAAAAAAGGAAAAGGAAUGUUAUGGCAAAGGAAGGAGCACUCAUUUCCCCUCCAGGAAUACCAGGUCUGAUUCCCACCCCAACUCCUAAACGUGGUGUCAGGAAUUAAUGGAAGGAUUCAGCAGGAGGCAAAGAAGCCAGAGGAAGCAAAAGUCCCCCAGCCCUGGGACAGAGUGGUGGAUUCCCAGGGACUUCCCACAGGACUGAGGGGGAACAAAAGCAGCCAGGGACCAGCAAAGCUGCUCAGGGGGACAACACAGGACAGCAGAGGACACAGUGGGGAUGCUGAGCCUCAUCCUGCUGCUGGCUUCACUCAGAGCUGUGCCUGUGGCUCUGCACCUCCCUGGCUCACUGGGACCUGCUCUCCAUCAUCUCCAUCAGCCCACGGUAACAGCAAGGAAUGCCUGCUCAGAAGUGCUUCACUUUACACCCCAAGCCCUUGCAGAGCAGGGUGCACACCAUGAGGCUUCCAAUUCUGCCUGCAGUAAAACUCUGCAGCCUGGAGAGCAGCAGUUUGCAGCAAAUAUCCCCAAAAGAUGCAGCUGGGAUCAUGGAGCCCCUGGAAGACUGAUGAGAUGUAAAGCACUACCCUCAGCCCAUAUAAAUCACACUGGUUUAGUGCCUGUCCUGUUUAAAGCCUCUCUUUUCUCAUACCUGUGGCAGAUUUCCAUUCUUUGUUAGCUGGUACAUGAAAGGCUGUGUCAAAGUGGCUGCUCUUGGUGGCAAGAGAAACACAGGGACUCGCCGGUGGGGAAUGCAGCAAGCCUCAACUCAUUUGUUAGCUUGUCCAAUUACUUUUCACCUUGAGUUUUGUGUUUGCACAAGUGAAAAGGACCCUGAAGAGGGGACAGUAAAACCAUAAAGAAGAAGCAAAAUACCCUGGGCUUUCCUCUCUUCUCCUCCACAAACCCAGGCCACCUUGUCAUUCAUUCUUCUUGAGUCACUGAACUAUGAUCCAGAAAGGACCAUAAUGCAGAGCUGGCACAUAACAAGAAAUAUCAAUCCAGACUGGCUUAAACUCUUGCAAGUAUGACAGUGCUCAAAAAAUAGACACCUGAAUUGCCUUCCUGUUUUCCUCAGCAAGCCUUAUGAAUUUUUUAUGAGCUGCAAAACUUCCAGUGCCGGUGUGAAACACUGAUGUAUUUCUAAUAGGGACUAAAACAUUCUCCUCUCCCAUACCUCCGACCCUGUGUGUGUGUAUAUAUAUAUAUAUAUAUAUAUAUCCCUUAUUUGUAAGGUCUGGUUUGUCUUUUUUUUUUUUUUUAACUUAACUAAUAGUAUUCCUCCUUACUGGUGGAACUUGGCCUGGAUGAAUUUCUGCUGCAAUAUUUCUGUGUAGGGCUUUCAGAUAAGCAGCAAAGAGCUGAGGCCGUGACAAUCUGUAACCCAGAGGCUUCCAGCAUUGUGGGAUUUUUCCAGGUUUCACAACACUGACCUUCUGACAGUGUAAAGUGGCACAGAGCCAGUGCAAAUGUUCUAGGUCUGCUGGUCAGACCGUUUGAUGACCACACAGGUGAUAAAACAACAACACUUUAAAAUACUCAACUGCACAGACCACCACUGGAAGAUUUGGGACCACCAGUGCCCCAACAUGCAGCUCAGCUUUUCCUGCUUUUCCACAGUGACAAGUCACUCUAAAGAGCUCUUCCUGCUCAGGGACAUUGGCCAGCACCAAAAGAACUGCCCAGAUAGUUAAUAUUUUCCAAACUAUUGUGAAAAUACAAAUAGGAACUUGGCAUGCCGUGAUGCCAUGGACUGUGGGGAGUCACUGGGGACACAAGAAGGAGUGCAAUGUACUCAGAGGAGAGGGAAAGGGGGGGAAAUCGUUUAUACUAAUGAAACAAAGUCUAUUAUUACACCAGUAGUAAAACAACAACAGGAGCAGCCUGCAAUUUCCUCAGUAAUAAUCUCACUCCCUCCAUGGAAUAACAACCCUGCCUUUGGCUUGGUAAUUUAUCCACCAGGGUACCAGCCCACCAUGACAGAGCAACCUCCUCAUUACCCCUGAAUGAAAGCAAGUGCCCCCACUUUAUUAAUGAGCUGCCAGACCCCCCAGCCUUGGGAGAUGGGGGGAUCAGCCAGCAGCUGCUGGUAACAAUGCACAGCCUGAAAGGGAGGCAGCCAGAGAAAACAUAGGGCCCAGCUGCCAACGUGGGGGGAAAGGGAUGAGAGGGUCAAAACCUGCAGCCUUUCACUCUUUGUAAUGCCAGAAGAGGCUUGGGUUGCUCAUGGCUUUAAGUGUUUGUGUCAGCAGGGUGUGGAGAGCUGCUGCUCACCCUCGGUCCCUGAGCCCUGCUCCUGCCUGCUCCAGAUCACUGGAGAAUAACUGGGGGUACCUGCUAAUCGUGAUGCCUCAUCAUUAUUAGUCUCAGCUGCUUGGUUCAGAUGGUUUGGUUUUCACCUGCAUGCUGAGGAGCCCACAGACCCUUCCUCAGGCAGUGCUGCUGGGGACAGGAUGGCCCCACACUGGGGACAAGUGGCAGUGAGCACAUGCCCCAGGUGACAACCACAGUCUCAAAUAUUCCUCUGCCAGACCUGACAGAGCAGCUUCCAAAGACCUGUCCACACCUAAAUCACCCUGAUGCCUUCUACUACAUUGCAAAUAAUCCAUUUUAAAUAAGGAGGCUGAAAUCCAGCUCAUGGCACAGCAGCUCCAACAGCUAACCUGGCCCCAGAGAUGCUUCAUUUGCUUCCUCACAGGUGAGGAGAACAGUCAGUUCAUUUAAGGGGUAAUGGCUGCAGCUCCAGCACAAUCCCUGUGAGAUGAUUCAUAAACCAAGCAUGGGAGAAAUUGUCUGGACACACAUUAUUGAGUCAUCAGACUGGUCAGUGCUGUGGUGCCUGGGCAGGCCUGGCACUGUACUCACUGGGAAGGUGGUGAGGGCAAUGAUCCACUGCAGCAAUCCUCCCUCCCUCCCCUGCACCCAGCAGGCGAGCCUUAGGAGCACAGGGACCCUGACCUCCCACCUGAAACUGGCCACAGCAGCAACCUGAUGUUAAAAAAAAAAAAAAAUAGAAGAAGAAAAACAAAGCAGACAAGGUCCAAGCUUCAGAAAGACAAAGUGUUCUCUUCCUUAUCCACCAGUCUUAUCUGAUCAGUGCUCUGGCACUUCAAUUUCCAGACUACCCAGUUCAGAUGCUGCUCCUGCAGGAGGUGCAGGAGGAGCCACAGGCCAACAGCUCCCAAACUGGGGCUGUGGCCAAGGUCCUUUCUGUCCCUUUCAGUUUAGGCAAUAAAUAACCUCCCCUGCAAAGGGACAGCACUCAGGGGUUCCCCCAGCUGCAGGUUUGGAUCUCACCAUGCAGCAGAUCACAGCUCACCUUCACAAGGUCAUGGCAUCACAGUGUUUGAGUUUCUCCUGGAUUUCUUUAGCUGCCCUUUUGCCUUGGCAGGACCUCUGGCUGUGAUCUCUUCCAUCACUGGAAGCCCAGCUGCAGGGCAGGAGCUCCCUGUGUGGCAAUGUGGAAACCCAGGGCACUGGGAAUAUUUCUGUGUCUGCUCUGGGGUGCCCUGACCCCCAGGGCAGCACUGACUCUGACCCUCAUUCAUGGAGAAAGCUUCCCAGACUUCAAGAUAGACUGGAACCCACAAAAGUGUGAAAUAGAUUAUAGAGAGCAGUGUAGGUGUGUCACCUGGUGAGAAAUUGAGGGUUUGGGGUUUUUAGUGUGUUGUGGAUGGAAUCAAGAUGGAGGGCACAGGGUGUGGUCCUGGGUUUCUUCUUCAUGCUUCUUCUUCCUCCUUCUCCAUGGGUUUGGGUGGCAUUUUGUAAUUGGGCAGAAAAGUCCCCAUUGCAGCUCUUUGGGAUCAGUUACUGGGUUAAAAGGGGAAAUAAUCCAGGUGUCAGCUCUUAAUUGGAUAGUUUAGUCUUAAAAGCCCUUGUACCAAGAGACUUGGCCAUUUUGUGCCUUCUAAUGAAAAGCUGCCCAACUCACAGCAGUGAGACUGUUUUACUGAUGAGAAAAAAUAAACACCUGUGUCUGAACAUGAA